CAGUAGGUAGUUUAUUAAAAUAUUAAUUUUGGGUAUUAAAGAUGAGGUUUAUUGCCUCUCUACUGA
rnacentral:tRNA from 1 species